rnacentral:misc_RNA from 1 species
UUGCUCGAAUUUGUCCGAAUUAUCAUCACCGUGGUAUUAGCCACAACAAGAUAUCGGCAGCAUUCACUGUAAAGUUUUCGCUGUGUAUAUAAUACUUGCGAUAGUCAUAAUUUUCUUUGAGAGUGUGAAUUUCUGUAGCUAUCAUCUCAAUUUAAAUAAAAAAAAUAUCAUUUUACUAUUACCAAUAAAUAUUUCAGUUAUAUAUUUAAAUUGUAUCAUCACAAAUAAUCAUAAACAAUGGCGGGCGAACAACAGCAAUUUUUUCUUAAAUGGAAUGAUUUCCAAUCAAAUAUGGUAUCGUCUUUUAAACAUCUACGAGAUGAAAAAAGCUUUACUGAUGUGACACUAGCCUGUGAUGGACAAACAUGCAAAGCACAUAAAAUGGUACUAUCCGCAUGUAGUCCUUAUUUCAAAUCUCUUCUUGAGGAAAAUCCGUCCAAGCAUCCCAUAAUUAUUUUGAAAGAUGUAGCUUACAAUCAUCUACAAGCAAUAUUGGAAUUUAUGUAUGCUGGAGAAGUUAAUGUUUCUCAAGAUCAGUUACCAGCAUUUUUAAAAACAGCAGAUCGGCUCAAAGUUAAAGGAUUAGCUGAAGCGCCAGGUGUUAUUGGAAGCGUGCGAAGUGAAAAAGUGUAAUGAAUGCGUUUAAAAACAAAGUGAUUAAAUAAAUAAACUGGAGCGUUAUACAUACAUAAAACACUAAUACAAAUGAAAGUGCUGAAAUUAAAUACAAGUAAGCAGGUCAUCAUAGUUUUAUAUAAAAAUUGGCCGGGGGCACUUGUAAAUCUACACAAUAUCUAUCAUUUAAAUAGAAAAUGUUUAUAAAAAUCAUCCAAUCAGCCUAAUAUUAAUACAUUAAUUAUUUACACAAUUAUUAUUUUGCACAUAUUCUCAUUUUAAUUAUGUUUUGAUAACAUUAUUUAUAUGUAAUUAUUAAAAAUAACAUAUGUAUCAUUUAUAAAAGUAUUUAUCUGAUUUACAACCCCGGUCAUUUAAAUGAAGGUUUUUUAAUCAAGUUUACUAGAAGUGUUACAUCAAUUUAUGUUUAUGUAUUAUUAAUUAUUAACUGAAAUAUAUCAUGUUAAAAUAGCGUUUUACUAAUUGUUUAUAUAAAAUAGAAUGUGUAUUAAUUAGAUCUUUUAUAAUCUUAUGUAUCUUUAAACGCACUUCUAGUAUUCAUGAACUACCUUUACCAAAUACUGCCAGGAUCGUACCGGCGUAUUUACAUUAUUACCGAUAGACCAAAUUUAUUUAUGAUAAUAAUAUAUUGAAGGUUGUUUGUCCUAAGCCGAAGGAAGUUUAAUGUAACAUAAUGAAAAAAAAAUUUUCUAACGCCAGGACGCACAGUUCUUUUAUGAUAUUUAGAGCACGAAUACUGUCAGUAUCAUUUUGGAGAAAAAAAAUAGUAAAAAAGAAAAGAGUGUUAAGAUACAAUUAGUACAGUGAAAUAUUGAUUCUGAGCUUAUUUAUAUAAGAUAUUUGAAUGAAACCAAUUCGUUAUUUACGACAAAAGGGUGCAAUGAAUUAUUUGAAUACAAUUAAAGAUUUAUUAUUGGAUGCGUUAUAACUAUCGAUUAUUAGUAUCAGCAAGUACAUAUACAAAUUGCUUCCAUAUUUUUUUCUAUUAAAAAUAAAUUUAAACAAACUUUCAUCAGGGAUCAUUCUGUCAACUGAAUUGCUUUAAAUAACAUAAUGUUUAUAGAUUAAUUAUAGUUCAAUAUUUUCACUUUUUUUUUAAAAUAACAUAUAAUACCAUAAUAUUAAGUAGUUAUUUAGCAAUUACUCUUAGAACUGGUUGAAACUUAUAGUCUGUAAAUCCGGUCAGUUAAGUGUUAAAAUACUAUAUGUACAUUUUUUUAUCAUUUUGUUAAACUCGCAGUAAUGUUAAAUAUUAUGUAUUUGAUUAAAUUAAUAAGAAUGGUCUCUGAUGAUAGUGUUUGAGUUUCAAAUUGAUUUUGAGCGUUACUUUCCUUUUUAUAACAUUUUAUAACUGAAAAAUGGUUGUAAUAAUACAAAAUAAAUAAUUACAUAAGUAUAUUUUUUAUUUUUAAACGCUCAGAAUCUGGGAUGAAUAAUUAUUUGAAGCUCUUCCCUUAUAAUUGUCAUGUUAAUUUUUAUGCAUAUGUAGAGAGAAAAAAAAUAUUUCUACGACUUACACGUAAUUUCUUACCAGACGACAAUUUUUUCAUCAUUUGAUUUUACUUUUAAUAUUAAGAUGAUUUAAUGAAAAUUAUAAUAAUAAUAUGAAAAUGUUGAAAUAUAAAAUAAAUU